rnacentral:rRNA from 1 species
UCUGCGUGGGGGCACCCUGACCGCAAUGCCGCGUGAGUGAAGAAGGCCUUCGGGUUGUAAAGCUCUUUUGUCAGGGAAGAAACAGCAGCUCUAACACAGUCUGCGAAUGACGGUACCUGAAGAAUAAGCACCGGCUAACUACGUGCCAGCAGCCGCGGUAAUACGUAGGGUGCGAGCGUUAAUCGGAAUUACUGGGCGUAAAGCGUGCGCAGGCGGUUAUACAAGACAGGCGUGAAAUCCCCGGGCUUAACCUGGGAAUGGCGCCCGUGACUGUAUAGCUAGAGUGUGUCAGAGGGGGGUAGAAUUCCACGUGUAGCAGUGAAAUGCGUAGAUAUGUGGAGGAAUACCAAUGGCGAAGGCAGCCCCCUGGGAUAACACUGACGCUCAUGCACGAAA